AUCCAGCUGACGAGUCCCAAAUAGGAUGAAACGCGCGAACUGGAU
rfam:Schistosoma haematobium scaffold313_18, whole genome shotgun sequence.